rnacentral:rRNA from 1 species
UGUGACCUCAAAUCAGGUAGGACUACCCGCUGAACUUAAGCAUAUCAAUAAGCGGAGGAAAAGAAACUAACAAGGAUUCCCCUAGUAACUGCGAGUGAAGCGGGAAAAGCUCAAAUUUAAAAUCUGGCGGUCUUUUGGCUGUCCGAGUUGUAAUCUAGAGAAGUGUUAUCCGCGCUGGACCGUGUACAAGUCUCCUGGAAUGGAGCAUCAUAGAGGGUGAGAAUCCCGUCUUUGACAUGGACUGCCAGGGCUUUGUGAUGCGCUCUCAAAGAGUCGAGUUGUUUGGGAAUGCAGCUCAAAAUGGGUGGUAAAUUCCAUCUAAAGCUAAAUAUUGGCGAGAGACCGAUAGCGAACAAGUACCGUGAGGGAAAGAUGAAAAGAACUUUGGAAAGAGAGUUAAACAGUACGUGAAAUUGCUGAAAGGGAAACGCUUGAAGUCAGUCACGUCGUCCAGGGAUCAACCUUGCUUUUGCUUGGUGCACUUUCUGGUUUGACGGGUCAGCAUCAAUUUUGACUAUUGGAAAAAGGCUCUAGGGAAUGUGGCAUCUUCGGAUGUGUUAUAGCCCUUGGUCAUAUACAAUGGUUGGGAUUGAGGAACUCAGC